CGUGUUGAUACAUGUGAGGAGGAAACAUCAUCGAUUUCGCCGACACGUAAAGUGCAAAAAACAUUUGGUGAACUUGUUAAAAAUUGAUCUUGAAGGAGAUUGUAAUCUUAAGGAGAUAUUUCAUAAAAAUUAUCGUAAGGAUCUUUAUCGAUUUCACGUUUCGCUCCAUCAAAAUUCUUGAACAGCAGUUUCUUAAGUGAUUCGAAACGAUUUACAACAACAACACCUUCCGAGGCAAGGUUGAAAUAUCGAAUUGUUGCCAUUCGAAGCGAGUCAAGAGAAGGUAGUUGCGGUCAGGGAGCUAAGCAAACACAUUACGUCAAUCGGUGAAUCGAACAUAGGUUCAUUAUGCAAGAAAACGAUAGAACGAGAGAACGUAAUUGAACACCCUUUGUCUCCGUAUCAUUGCAUCAUCUUCUAACUUUGUCUAUCGAAGAACAUACUUCGACCAACGAUUUUUUUGAUGAAGCACUAUGAAAAAUCUGAGACGAAAUACUAGCGAAACUACAAUUCUGUACAGUUCUGGAUCGAGUACUUAUCCCAGUAUCUAUUUAAAAAAAAGGAGAACAACGAUAUGAACGGCCCUGGACGAUGCUCCAUCAAUUUAGACGUCGGUAUUUCAUGCUUUAAUUUAGAACCUAGCUAUAUCGUGGAGGCUGCGGUGCAACAGGAAGCGGUCAAUUCAGGUCAGUUCGGAGGAAAACUGUGCAACGGGGCCUGCCUCCGAACGCCUUCCUUUUCCUUUUCCUUUCGAAAAAAUAAAUUUCGAAUUAUUCGGAAAAGUCGAUUCAGGACGAGGGAUUGAAAUGACAGGAAAUUUAUUUUUCUUUUUAUUAUUAUUAUUAUUAAUCGUUCAAAACACACCGUAAUUAUUUCAUCGAUUUUGCUAAUUGGUUCGA